UAGAUAGCAUCAGGGUUCGAGCCCUCAUCGCUGGCAGUGGCACUGCGAGCCGUCCAAAUAAGACACAAAGGCCUCAAAACACAACCAUAGCGACAGACAGAGAUCCAGCACAGAGCUUUUAAAGGAUCGGAAUCUUUGAGAGGGCAGAAGAAAGAAGCGUUCGGUGAUAAGGUGUACCUGUAUUUGUGAGGCAAUAAAGGAGAGGUCACAAACAACAGGAAGUGGAGCAGGGGGAGUGAAAGGUGUUCACAGGGCUCACGGUCUUCAAGCCACCAGCAUCUGAUAUCAUGCACAAGUUCUUGCUGAAGGACCUAAGUUCUCUUAGCCGGAGGCUUGAGCACCUGCACGCAGUGACCGCUGGUGGCUCUAGGACAAGAGGUUUGAUUGACAGCAGCCCCGGCUGGAGUGUUAUUCAUCAAGAGGAUGUAACACACACUGAUAGACGUCUUUAUACAGCUGUCAUUCCAAAGCUGUCUGUUCUUCAUCUCAGAGUAAAAAAAAGGUAAGUAUUAGUGACUUUAUUUCUGGCUUUAUGUUUUGUGACUAUGCCUUUGUAUCUCACAACUGACUAUUUUUCUUUUAAUACUGACUUUAGUAUGUUAUUUUAGUAUAGAUUAUAUUCUUAAUAAUAUUAGUUAUUAUUAAUAAUAUUAAUAUAUUAAUAAUUCUAUAAUUAAUAUUACUAGAAAAACCAUAUGAAUUUUACAUGUGACAUGUGACGUACAUAAUAGUAAUCAAAGUACUUAAACUUAAUUAUUUCAGUCAGUCGCCAAAGCAACAUUUCUCAUUUUCAUUAAAAUGUUUAAUUUUAAUUAAAAAAAAACACAUUAAU
rnacentral:lncRNA from 1 species